rnacentral:rRNA from 1 species
UACGUAGGGUGCAAGCGUUGUCCGGAAUUAUUGGGCGUAAAGAGCUCGUAGGCGGUCUGUUGCGUCCGCUGUGAAAACUCGGGGCUUAACCCCCGAGCCUGCAGUGGAUACGGGCAGACUAGAGGUAGGUAGGGGAGAAUGGAAUUCCCGGUGUAGCGGUGAAAUGCGCAGAUAUCGGGAGGAACACCGGUGGCGAAGGCGGUUCUCUGGGCCUUACCUGACGCUGAGGAGCGAAAGCGUGGGGAGCGAACAGG